rfam:Thermodesulfobium narugense DSM 14796, complete genome.
GUUUCAAUUCCUCAUAGGUAUCGUAAAAAC